rnacentral:rRNA from 1 species
CUACGGGGGGCAGCAGUGAGGAAUAUUGCACAAUGGGGGAAACCCUGAUGCGGCAACGCCGCGUGGAGGAUGACGCAUUUCGGUGUGUAAACUCCCUUUAUCAGAGAAGAAAAUGACGGUAUCUGAUGAAUAAGCUCCGGCUAACUCCGUGCCAGCAGCCGCGGUAAUACGGAGGGAGCAAGCGUUAUUCGGAAUCACUGGGCGUAAAGGACGCGUAGGCGGGUUUUUAAGUCAGGUGUGAAAUCCUAUGGCUCAACCAUAGAACUGCACUUGAAACUGGGGACCUAGAGUAUGGAAGGGGCAGGUGGAAUUAGUGGUGUAGGGGUAAAAUCCGUAGAUAUCACUAGGAAUACCGAAAGCGAAGGCGACCUGCUGGGACAUUACUGACGCUGAGGCGUGAAAGCGUGGGGAGCAAACAGGAUUAGAUACCCCAGUAGUC